rnacentral:rRNA from 1 species
UAUUACAGCCAUAUCACCUUGCAGCCCAAGACUGGUCACCCACUGAAGCUAAGCAGGGCUGAGCCUGGUCAGUACCUGGAUGGGAGACCUCCUGGGAAAACUGGGUUGCUGUUGGAA